rnacentral:misc_RNA from 1 species
CCGAGUUUACAACUCCCAAACCCCUGUGAACAUACCACUUGUUGCCUCGGCGGAUCAGCCCGCUCCCGGUGAAACGGGACGGCCCGCCAGAGGACCCCUAAACUCUGUUUCUAUAUGUAACUUCUGAGUAGAACCAUAAAUAAAUCA